CUUCUAACACAAGAUGGCAUGUAGCGGUCAGUAAAGCCUCAGCCCAGUUCUGUGAGGAAUGAACACCUCUGGCAUGUACGACGUGGCUCACCGUGAUAGAACUUUCUUUCCAACAUGGCUCCUCCGGUGUUGAACAAGUCUCAAAGUAGAGUCCGUCAGUGAUGGCCAAAUGACGUCGCGGUCAGUGCCCCUAUCAGAUGAUCGUCAGUGAAGCUGGACCAAGUCUGCAGGUUCACGCGCCCAGAAGAGAACACUCACCUGUGCCCGGUAAGGCCCGUGAUCCCAGAGAUUCAUGCUUGAGCAGAGCCCUCACCGGCUGGAACUGGGCACUCCGUGAUCCGCGGGAAGGUGCCAGUGCUGCCAUCUCGCAACAGACAAGCUCUUGGCCCUGGUCACCACCUGGGACCUAGAGGUUAUUCAUUCCUUUUCAUUAUUUGUCAGACAUUUCUGGAGCACUUCCCAUGUGCCUCACAGUUUCCAGGGGCACGAAAAACAUUAACUCAGGUAACACAGACAACAACCUUGAGGUGGGUACCGUUACCGUGAUCAUUUCACCGAUGAGGAAGCGAAGGCACACAGAGCGUAAGCAGUUUUCCCAAGGUCGCCCAGCUAAUAAGUGGCGGUGCUAGGACGGGCGCUCAGGCAGAGGGACCCCAGAGCCCGUGCUCUUUGCCAUUACCAGGUGCUCCCACGUUGUAUACGUUGUGCUUUUACAAAGACUUUUGGGAACCGGUGCUGCCUCUCAAAAUACUCCUAUCUUAUCUGACAGGUGAGGUUAAUAAUUUCUCGUUUAUAGGGUUUUGUUACUGGUUUUGAGAACCAAGAAAGAAGAUCACAGAAGGUGAAAUCACCUAACGCAGGACACACGGUCUAUCCCCACUAAAAGGUGGCUUCCACGCAUUUAUGGGCAAAUUGCACUUGUCAAGUUUCUUUCUCACGUGCAGCUCAGAACUCCCCACAUCUUCUGUAACGACUGAGGAGGCUGAAGCCAAGAGACUUGAAACGCCUUCACUGUGAAGGGCUCGCGGGCAGUGGGCCCCAGUGCAGACCCGGAUCUCCUGGUCAGUGGUCAGCAGGCUCUGGCUGCAGUCCCCUGAAGGAACAUUAACUGGUGCACAGAGGACACCACCUUACAACAGACUGGCAAAGCAAGAAGAGGUGGGGAGAUCAACCUGUUUUCCACCAGGGGGGUUCUCUAGCCUGGGGUCCUUGGACUCCUCCCAUGUGGUCCAUGAACUUGGAAUAGGAAAGGAGUAGUUUUAUUGUUACCAGCCUCUAAGGGAACGUGGCCUUUCCUUCUAUUAUAAAUUGAAGCAGCGAUCAUGUGGCAUCAGCCACGGCACUUCGCCACCAAUAGAAAUUGCAGAUGUUUUGGGGCGCCUGGGUGGCUCAGUUCGAGCCCCGCAUCGGGGUCUGUUCUGACACCUUAGAGCCUGGAUGGAGGCUGCCUUGGAUUCUGUGUCUCCCUCUCUCUCUCUGCCCCUUCCCCGCUCAUGCUCUCUCUCAAAAAUAAACACUUAAAAUUUUUUAAAAAGAAAAAUUGCAGGUGUUUUCACACCACAUUACGGCACAACGAACAGUGUCAAAGUCACUCAUGCUUCUAACGACUUUGAAACUGCACCCGGGCUAUUGGGCCUGUGCCCAGGUCUUACUGAUUAGUGCAAGAAUCUUAAAAAGCGCACGCAUAAUGUUGUCACUAAUUCGUUUAAUGCAUUGCUGGCUGUAUUUCAACAUAAUCGAGUUCUUCUGUGAUCCUUCAUGUAUCUAAAACUUCUGUUACGAGGAGGGGCCCAGGGACUCCACCCGAGUGGCAGAGAGAGAGAGAGAGAGAGAGAGAGAGAGAGAGAGAGAGAGAGAGAGAGAGAGAGAGAGAGAGAGAGAGAGGGAGAGACAGGGAGAGACAGGGAGAGAGAGAGAGAGACGGAGGGAGAAGUUCCGAUGUUGACGGCACGCCCCGCCCUCGGCCCGAGACUUGGGUUAGAAACCGGGCUCGGGGCCUCUACCUGCGGUGUCGGCGCCUCCAGCUGUCUCUGCAGGUGCUCCAGGAGCACCACCACCUCGUCCCCGCUCUCCGGGUGCUGUCCCCGCACCCAGGCCUGGAGCUCGGCGGGCAGGAUGGUCAGGAACUGCUCCAGCACCAGCAGCUCCAGGAUCUGCUCCUUGGUGUGUGUUUCUGGGCUCAGCCACUGGCGGCACAGCUCGCGGAGCCGGCGCAGCGCCUCGCGGGGCCCCUCGGCCUCAGGGUAGCGGAAGCCCCGGAAGCGCCGGCGCGAGCGCUCGGGGCCGGGGGCCGGGCUGCCGGGCGCGGCCGUGGGGACGUCCUCCUCCUCCUCCUCCACCUUCACGGUCAGGAUGCCCGUCAGCAGCCCCGGCCGCUCCUCUGCAGUGCCGGCAUCCAAGGUCGCGCUCGCCUUCGACUCCCCGGCCAUCCCGGACCUGGCGCUGGCGGACGGCUGCGCUUCUCGGGGCGGUUCCUCUGGUGCGUAAGUCGCUCCCUCGGCCCCCCGCGGCCGGAGCCGUCCUCCGCGCCCGCCCCGGGCCACACAGCCAGUCUCUCCACACCGCCGGCCGGAAUCCGCGGGCGCCCUCGGCGCCGGAGGGCAGGAGCGCGGGGCCGGAAGCCGGGCCGAGCCACUUCCUGGGCCCUCUAGGACGCGUCUCUUGGUGGCGGCCCGUUAACCCUUCGGCUCUCGGGCCGCCGCCGGCGAGACCGCGAGAGAGGACGGGGGGGCUGUGGCUUAUGCUUGGCUGAAGCCGACGUCUCACGUUGCAGCGAACGCGGGCCCGCUGGGCCCUCAGAGUUCUGGCCUGAGGCCUUCCCCCGCGGCCGCGGACGUCACUGGGCCAGGCUGGGAGAGCAGCGGCUGCACCUGCGCCUGACCAGCUCCACCUCUCCUGCGAGGCCCGCCGGCGGGAAGGCCCUCCCCGCCUCUGCCUUCGUCCUCACUUCCAUGCAUCCUUAACACCUUGUCCGCGUGAACCGCCACCAGCGCCAUUGGGAUCCUUCCUGCAAAAGCAACCCGAGAUCCCCAACGGCCCCCACCAGUUACCACUUUCCAUUUUCUGUGGCCUCCCCUUGGGCAGCCAGGCUUGUGCUGCUCCCUGCUUCCAGCCACUCCCGUGUCUUUGGCCAGGGGACCCUGUUCACUCCUGGUCGCUCUCUUCUUGUUCCUUCCAGUUCCCAUUCACACUCUAGCACAGUGAAAGCUACACACUCUCAAGCCACAUUACCUGGGCUCCUAAUCCUGGCUUUAUUUACCAUUUACUAGCUGAGUGACCGCAGUUAACUAUAUAACCUCUCUGUGCCUGACUUUCUGAAUCUAUAACUGAGGAUAGUAAUAGUAGAUAGGGAUGUGAGCAGUGGGUGAGGUUUUUUAUGUAAAGCUCUUAGAAUAAUGGCUAACCUGUAAUAAGCUAGGCCUACCCUAAAACGGUAGGAAGCCCUGAAUUCCUUUGAGCCAAAGGAGGCUAGAUUUUAAGCCAGAAGUGACAGCAGUUAUUUUGCUGGACUGAGAUGUCAGUGAGUCUGCUUUCUACUCAGAAUGUAAGUUUGGUAGAUGUUUUUUAAGUGGAAAAAUAUCAUGGUAGUACCUUCCUGAGUUUUAAUUCCUCAGUCUAUCUCUUCUAUUAAUCUCCUAGCCUGGGCAUGAUUACCUGGUGGGCACACUCAGCUACCUCCACCCCUGCCCAGUCCUAGGGUCUGGCAGCUGCUCACCCCGGGGCCCCUGGUACUCAAGGGCAGCAGGUGCAACCACUUCUCCAGUCUUACAUUGGUUCCUGUGUAGUCUGGGGUGUGCAUUUGAAAGUAAAUGCCUUAUGCCUUUUGCUGUCAACUCUUAAAAAAGCCGUGUACCAGUGGACCCCUGCAGUUCAAACCCAUGUUGUUCAAGGGUCAGCUGUUCUUCAUUUAGUCCCAUUGCUCCUGCCUUUAUCAGGGUAAGAAACAUAGGUUGUAGUCAUAAUACAAGUGUUUGUUUCCUCUUCCCAACAUACAUUUCAGUAAUCUGGAGCAUAUCCAUGAGAUAACUCCUGUAAAAACACUGUAAAAUGUAAAUCAGAGCACUGUGUGGAAGUGCAAAUAUGAGCAGCUGGAGGGGACUGUCAGGUCGUGUAAGUGUCAUUAGUGAAUGACUGCUUUUGUUGCUUGGUGAGUAAAGGUGACCUGCAUAUUUGUAAAGGCCAUAAGCAAGUGUAAUUUGGAGGGAUGUUUAAUUCCAGGUUGUUCUCAGAGUUCUAUAUAACUUGUGUGUUAGGAAUUUCUUAGUAAUAAGUAUAGAUUGUGACAAACUAAUGUUAUAUGCUUACUGCUGAGAUACCAUAAGAAUUAUAUUCCACCCCUGUGAUCUGCCAAAGAGAAUUACCCUAAAUCUAAUCAUGAGGACAUUAUCAGAUAAAUUCAAACUGUCGGACAUUUUACAACACAAUCACCCUGGACUCAGCAAAACUGUGUCAAGUAAUAUUUAAAAGUGGAUGUAGAAGUGUAGGUAGAAAAACUAUUCUAGAUUAAACAGACUAAUAAGUAAUCACAAUCAAAUGCAUUUAAGGAAACUUGACUGAAUUUUAAUCCCAUUUUAAAGACAUUAUUGAGGGGUGCUUGGGUGGCUUGGUCGGUUAAGCGUCUCACUUCGGCUCAGGUUAUGAUCUCCCGGUUUGUGGGUUGAAGCCCCACAGUGGAGCUGGAGCCUGCUUUGGAUUCUGUGUCUCAGACUCUGUGCCCUCCCCCAUUUUGCUCUGUUGGCUCUCUUUCUCUCAAAAAUAAAUAAACAUCAAAAAAAAUUUAAAGACAUUAUUGGAACAAUUGAGGAAUUUUGAACAUAUCCUGCAUAUUAGAUAACACUACCUAAUAUUUAAUGAUAAUAUUAAAUUUCUUUAGAAUAAUGAUGGCAUUGUGGUUGUGAAGGAGAAUGUCCUUCUUAGACAUUGAUUAGUGGAGUAUUUAUGGGUGAAGCAUCAUAAUGUCUAACUUUCAGUGAGUAAGAAACACAAUCUUAACAAUUAGUGAAUCUAGGUAAAGGAUAUGCCGGUGUUUAACUUUUCUGUAGGUUUGAAAGUUUUUUUUAAUAUUUGGGGGAAAUUUAUGUAAAACAAUUUUGAGAAAUUUUGAGAAAGAUCUUUCAAUACAUUUCUGUGCUCUAUCUGAAUGGAUAUUUGCUCAUCUAUAAGUAAAAUUAAGAAAAUAAGAGACUCUCACCACCAAAAGUUAUGGUAGGCAUUUAUUUUUAUUCCUAUUGUCAUAUUUUUUACACCACUGCUUUCUCUACUAAAUCAGAGGUCAACAAACUACUGCCUACAGACCAAAUUGUUCCCCUGGCUGUUUUUGUAUGGCCUUAGCAAGAAAUUCUAUAUUUUUAAAUUAUAGGGGAAAAAUCAGAAGAAGAAUAAAAGUUUGUGAUAUGUGAAAAUUAAAGAAAUUCAAAUUUCA